rnacentral:lncRNA from 1 species
CAUUUCCUCUUAUUUCGCUUCUUACCCACACAACCCAGUUAAUGUUUUUCCAUUACAGCUCUUACCGAUUACACUUUAAGUAUCAGUAUCGGAUUCUACAAAUUCCCCUCUCUAAUCCUCAUCCGUUCACCCAAGUGUGUUUUCCUUAGUCUGAUGCUUCGAUUCUUGGACAUCUUCUCUUUUCUGUGUCUGCAUGUCAAACUUCCAUGUUCCAAAGGAUGCCCUAGAUCUUCCUUUUUGAAUUAGUUCCUCCUGGGUCCCUGAAAGAUGCUGUUUUGACCCUCGUCGAAGGUCUAUUUAGGCUUGUGAAACUGAAUUCUCCUCAGUCCUCGGAUUAAUCUUGUCGAAGGUUUCAAUGGAUUCCCCAGCCAGCGAAGAGGAGGCUCGUUUGGGUGCUUUAUGCACUCGCCUGGGUCGUCUAUGGUCGGAACAGAAAGUGGAAAUCUAGGACGAAG